rnacentral:rRNA from 1 species
AGCCCGGAGAUGGGUACUGAAACAAGGACCCAGGCCCUAUGGGGCGCAGCAGGCAAGAAAACUUUGCAAUGCGCGAAAGCUCGACAAGGUUAAUCUGAGUGGUUCCUGCUAAAGGAACCUUUUGUUAUUCCUAAAACCCCUGAUGAAUAA